rnacentral:rRNA from 1 species
GACAGAGGUCCCGAGCGUUAGGCGGAAUCACUGGGCUUAAAGCGUGUGUAGGCGGAUCGUUAAGUGCCUUGUGAAAUCCCAUGGCUUAACCAUGGAACUGCUUGGCAUACUGGCGAUCUUGAGCCACUUAGGGGCAACCGGAACAAAUGGUGGAGCGGUGAAAUGCGUAGAUAUCUGGAGGAACACCGGUGGCGAAAGCGGCUCACUGGACCUGAUCUGACACUGAGGUGCGAAAGCUAGGGUAGCAAACGGG